rnacentral:rRNA from 1 species
ACCGGAGAAUGUUAUCACGGGAGACACACGGCGGGUGCUAACGUCCGUCGUGAAGAGGGAAACAACCCAGACCGCCAGCUAAGGUCCCAAAGUCAUGGUUAAGUGGGAAACGAUGUGGGAAGGCCCAGACAGCCAGGAUGUUGGCUUAGAAGCAGCCAUCAUUUAAAGAAAGCGUAAUAGCUCACUGGUCGAGUCGGCCUGCGCGGAAGAUGUAACGGGGCUAAACCAUGCACCGAAGCUGCGGCAGCGAACGUAUCACUUAAAGCGAUUCAGCGGGUUACGAUUGACGGAGCGAAGCGACGUCAAAGCGUAUACAAAGUCGAGUCGGUUUAAGGAUACGUUCGUUGGGUAGGGGAGCGUUCUGUAAGCCUGYGAAGGUGKSYYGUGAGGSWUGCUGGAGGUAUCAGAAGUGCGAAUGCUGACAUAAGUAACGAUAAAGCGGGUGAAAAGCCCGCUCGCCGGAAGACCAAGGGUUCCUGUCCAACGUUAAUCGGGGCAGGGUGAGUCGACCCCUAAGGCGAGGCCGAAAGGCGUAGUCGAUGGGAAACGGGUUAAUAUUCCCGUACUUGGUGUUACUGCGAAGGGGGGACGGAGUCGAUGGGAAACGGGUUAAUAUUCCCGUACUUGGUGUUACUGCGAAGGGGGGACGG